GGUACAAACCACAGCAGGUAAGGGACAAACACUCCCUGCAAACAGAGCUUACAGGAAGUUUUAUUAGAGGAAGACCCCCUUGAGGCAAUACACAGUGCCAAUGGGGACCACGUAUAAGAAUUAUUAACAGUUACAUAGCAAUUUUCAACUUUGGGCCCCAACAAGAAAAGAGAAAGCAUGCACUGUAUAUUAAAAUUAAUAAUAAAUAAAUGAUAGAAAAUAAAUUUCAGGCACUAAAACAUACAAUUAUUAAGCAAAAUAAUUGUGACAAUACAGAUGACAGGAUAUUUAUAUUUUCUCCAUGUUUUGUAUGUACCAAGUUGAAAACACAUUCAGAAAAAAAAAGGAAAUACAAUCAACCCCAAACAAAAAUGUUGUUAAUGGUGUCAUAGUAGGUUUGGAGCUGUAGGACACUGAGCUAAGCCAAUCAUUGCAUAGCAUCAUCCUAACCUGGCCAGUGUCAAGUAGGAGAAUGUGGUUCUUGGCCAUGGGAGAGGUUUUUCUUAUUUCAUUAAUGAAAAUAACUCAGAGUCCAAUAAUCUUCAUAAUUAGCAUCUAAUGUUUCUUCUAAGCCUUCUUAUUUUUGUUACUAUUAUGAACAAACAAAUGAUAAAAUCAUGAUUUAUGCUAUAUGGUGUGAUAGUCUGUUGAGGAUGUUGAGGCUGGGAUGUGAGUUCAUUUGGCUCUGUGGAAAGAAGACUCUGAUGUACUUUUAAUAAUGAACUUAUUCAUAGCUGAGGGGGUCUCCAGCCUCAGUGGACUGAAGUUCUUUCCCUAUGGUCAGGGCAUUUUACUUUUCUCAAUAUUUAUACUUUAGCCAGUUGGUUACCAUAUGCUCAGAACAACUUGAAUGAGGCUUUCAAAAAUAUGAGGCCAACUGCAAAUCUUGAUUCAUCAGGUACCAGUUAUGUCUAUUAACAGGCAUUACUUUAACAUGGUGAUAUCCCAUUCAAGGAGUUCAGAAACAACAGUGGCGACCCUCCUAUUCAGUUUUCUUUUUAAGUGACUUGGUGAUUGUUACAUUAGCUGUGUUGUCAGUAUAACUUUCUUUUUAUACAUUUAUGGUAUAUUUUAGAACACGGUGACCUGUGUAGAUGUUCAUUUUGACUUCAUUCAGGAUUAGUGGGCUUUGCUGGAUCCUUCCCAGAAGAAUCUCCUUAAAGAUGUGAUGGUGGAGACUAUAGGAACUUCACUGCUAUAGAGGGUUACAGGAUCACCAUGAAAACAGCAAGGCAACAGGUGUCAGACAUGGCAGAUAUAGCAGGAUGCUAAGAUCUCACAUCCUCAACCUGCAGAAUGAACCAGACAGUGGGAACUGGAAAUGGUAUGCAGAUGUCAAUUAUAAAACCAUACCCCCAGUGACAUAUUACCUCCAGCAGGGCAUCAUUUCCUUAAUCAUCUCGAAUGAUACCACCAACUGGGAAGUAUUGAUUUCUCUGACUUCAGAACUACAUGCUCGCUUUUUGUUAUAUGAAGCAGAUCAUGAUACAGAAAAACUGUAGGUAAGCCUUUAUCAGCCUCAACAUCUGGGUUAUAGGAAUGAAUGCUUUGAAAAGAAAAAUAGUCAUGAUUGGAAACGUUUAAUGAUUUUUGUUAAUUUUUAUUUUGUUAUGUCAGUGUGUCUUUAGAUAUGUGCAUGUUCUUAGAAUGGUAAAUCCUUUAGUCUUCAUGUAUUUAUUUUUAACAGAAAUCACAGAAUGUUGUCAAAAACCUCACCUUGAUUCUGGGCAGGGAUAUGUCUUAACUGCUUGACCCUGUCUUUAUCCCUCUCAAUAUUUUAGACCUUGGUCCUGGAAAUGAACUUUUAACUGCUUGAUCAUAUCUUUAGCCAUAUGGUAUUUUAAACCUUUAUAUGUCAUCUUGACAUUAGGAAACAGGGAGGAAUGAGAAAAAUCCUGUUCAUGUAAACAAUAUGGUAAAGAAUUUACAUAUCACAGUUGACUUCAGUUUCAAUGGAAAGAAUCUGUUUCAUCUAUUUCAUUCAAGUAUGAUGGCAGAGAUCACAGCAUUGUAGUUUCUGAUUUUGAAAGUUUUGUAUGAGGUAUUAAAAUGUCCUGUAUAUGUGGCAAAUCCACAUACUGAAGUUUAUUUGCUAGUUCAUGUAUUCCUUCAGUUUAUCUGCUGGUUCAGAAAUUCCUUCUUUGACUCUGUUCAUCUUCUGUUGUGCUUUCACUUGAUGAUAGGCAAUUUUUUUACUGAAAUGUAUAGAAUGGGUUGAUUAUUAUCUAAGUGGAUCAUUGUUUACUUAACUAUUAGGUAGUGUUAUACUUUUCACAUAAAGGUCUGUGAAAGGUUGAUGGCUUCUUGUUCCUGUUUUUUUUUAUGUUUCCACAAAUUCCCUUCAGACGUCAUUGUUUGUUAUCCAUCCUGGUUUGGAUGUCAGUACUUUGUCAUGGCUACCUUUGAACUCCUAUGUCUCAUGUUUCAUCCUCAUGAGUUCAAGACCAAGGGUAGAUGAUGUACCCCUGAUGUGUGCUCCUUUGUUGACAUGUUUCAACAAUGUUAAUAUUAACAUGCUUAAGAAGUUUAUUCUGAGUACUAAACUCUUGUGGCCCUGAUGUCCGCAAGAGCCAGGGAGAUGAAAUGCCAAGUUAAGGGAUGGUGUGAUGAGCCACCACAUCUGCUGUUCCCAUUGUAGGUAGGUGGUGUCUGAGAGCAUUGCUUGUUUUCUUGGUCACUGUUGUUGGAGAGGGGGAUAUUUAAGGACCAAGCUUUCACUGCACCUCUGAUGUCUUUUGUCACAGGAGCUCCAUGGCAGGUUUUUUAUCUUUCCACACUGGAAUGCUGAUGGAAUGACAGGGAGAGUCUUCACUGAAGACAAGACCUCAGCAGUUAGUGAGGAGAGGGGCUGAUGCCUGCCACCUAUCUAGAUAUGUGAGAAAGGCCUUGGCUACACUUUUUUGCCCGUAGGCUGACCCGACAGGGUCCCUGUGGUCAGAUGGGUAAGGAGUCACCUUUUUGUCCCUUGCCCUUCCUGGUAUGGUGAGCAUUCUUGGCUAAACCAAGGCCAUGUGUACUUUACCAUAGAUGCACCCAGGGGUAAAGGGGGCUCAGAGGUCCUCCACCCACACCCAGGCUGUUCUUGUUCCUCAGGGGUUCUGCAGUACUCUUUUUUGUAAGUUUGUAGCAUUAAACUAAUUUGGAAGAUGAAGUUGGCUUUGCCAUGCAACUCUUAAUGUGCUGGCUAACUGGCAUUUGAAGCUGGUAUGUUUUUUGAAUAAUUUGCCUUAUCCUAUUCUCAAAUUACAGCCGCCCCCGCACCUGUAACUGGCAUUAAUCCUUCACUCCUCCCGUCUCCUUUCCCCCUGCCUCCUCUUUCCCCUACUUCCAUCUGUCAUUUCCUCCUAAGUUUCCUUGUGUCCUUUCCCUAUCUGGCCCCUUGACCUCUGCCUUCUCCUCCCCCUUCUCAUGCCCUUCCCUUCCCUGUCCUCUGCUCAGGUACAUUUGAUGAAGUAACACUGAGUUCGUAUGUUCAUCUGUGCUGUCUUCCCCAAAACUGUCAAUGCUAGUGUAAAAGCAGCCAUUGUAGAAACUGUCCCACUGGACACCCCAAAUAAAAUCAAGACAAACAGGAGCUUGGGCUACUGCAUGUGCAUUUGAUAGUUAUUGAGUUUUCUAAUUUGAUUAUAUUUUUCUUAACAGAACACAUGCCAGAGAGUGAAGGAGGAAAUUAUCAGACUUGUAGGUGUGUAAACAGAAGACACAACCAGGAAGAAAGGUUACAAGAAAAGUAGAAUGCCCUGAAACCUUCCUCAACAGUGACCUCUUUGAAGAUCGCAGGAUUGAAGAAGAGAUAUGAUCCCAGAAAGGUAAGUAAACACAAAGUGGGUUAGAGUUGGGUUUAGAGUU